rnacentral:rRNA from 1 species
AGUGGCGGACGGGUGAGUAACGCGUGAGAAUCUACCUUCAGGACGGGGACAACAGCUGGAAACGGCUGCUAAUACCCGAUAUGCCGAAAGGUGAAAAGUUAUUUCGCCUGGAGAGGAGCUCGCGUCCGAUUAGCUAGUUGGUGGGGUAAAAGCUUACCAAGGCAACGAUCGGUAGCUGGUCUGAGAGGAUGAGCAGCCACACUGGGACUGAGACACGGUCCAGACUCCUACGGGAGGCAGCAGUGGGGAAUUUUCCGCAAUGGGCGAAAGCCUGACGGAGCAACGCCGCGUGGGGGAAGAAGGUUUUUGGAUUGUAAACCCCUUUUCUCAAGGAAGAACAAAAUGACGGUACUUGAGGAAUCAGCCUCGGCUAACUCCGUGCCAGCAGCCGCGGUAAUACGGAGGAGGCAAGCGUUAUCCGGAAUUAUUGGGCGUAAAGCGUUCGUAGGCGGCUGUUCAAGUCUGCUGUCAAAGACCGAGGCUCAACCUCGGGUCGGCAGUGGAAACUGGAUAGCUAGAGGUCGGUAGGGGCAGAGGGAAUUCCCAGUGUAGCGGUGAAAUGCGUAGAUAUUGGGAAGAACACCGGUGGCGAAAGCGCUCUGCUGGGCCGAACCUGACGCUGAGGGACGAAAGCUAGGGGAGCGAAUGGGAUUAGAUACCCC